AGUGAAACGCGAAAACUCAGAGGAAAUCUCUUUGUUGAAGAUGGCGGCAGCAGAGAUGAAGCUGGACAGAUGGGGCUACCAAGUUAGGACUUCUUCCGAUGCUUGCAUUUCUGCUAUCAACGAUUACUAUCACCAGGUGCUUAGUUAUGAAAGGAAAAGGUCGGUAAUAUUAGAAGCUCCAAAAAGUGAUCCGGAGUGUGUUCUAGGCAACAUUUUGGCUGCCCAUUUUCUCUGCUCAGCUGAUCCAUCCCAUGCUCCUGAAUUCAUCGAUGCUGCCAAGUCUCAUCUCGAAUGUGCUAGCACAUAUGAGAAGGCAGUGUUUGAAGUCGUCCAAUAUAUAAUUUCUUCAGAUAGAGAUGAUGAUUUAGUUGUGCAGCAGCAUUCCAAGCUUUUGCAAGAUUUCCCCCGAGAUCUUGUAUCACUGAAGAGAGUUCAAGUGCAAUGCUUUUACAUGGGUCGACUAGAUCUAUUUCUGGGAAUUGUAGAACAGGUCCUGCCAGUGAAUGACCAUGAGGAUUAUAUAUAUGGCAUGCUUGCAUUUACAUUACUAGAGCUAGGUCAAAUGGAAGAUGCAGAGAAAGCAGGAAAAAAGGGAUAUGAGCUCAAUAAAGAUGAUGCCUGGUCACAGCAUGCACUAUGCCAUGUUUACCAGUACGAGUGUCGUUUCAAAGAGGCAGUGGAGUUCAUGAUGAAUUGUGCACAAUCAUGGGGUUCUUUGUCAUCUUUUAUGUAUACACAUAAUUGGUGGCAUAUUGCUCUAUGUUACUUGGAAGGCCAUGCUCCUAUAACUAAAGUAGAAGAUAUUUAUAAUGAGCACAUUUGGAAAGAAUUGGAAAGAAGUGAUGCCACCCCAGUGGAGGUAUAUUUAAAUGCCGCCGGUUUGUUAUUGCGUCUGUAUGUGCGAGGUGUGCAUGAUAUUCUCAAGGAUCGUCUAAAUGAGUUAGCUAAUUGUCUGACAGAUCAAGCCUUCUGGUUUCUGGAGUGGCACCUUGACAUUUUGAUAUUAUGGACCUUAUCUUGCACUGGGAGAUUUAAUAAAGCAGAAGAAUUACUUAAGGGCUUGAACUCCAGGGUUUCAAUGAUGAACAGGAAGAAACAACAACAAAUGCAAACAGGACUUGAUCUUGCAGAAGCUCUCUAUAGAUACGGGAAGGGAGACUACAAGAAGGCUGUGGAACUUCUUGGGCACGACUUUGAUGCCAUUAACUACAAGCUAGGUAAUCGGGGCAUCUGAUGAACAGCUCGAUGUGUUCACUGAAGUGCACAUCACUCUGCUGCUGGAAACCGGAGAAGUAUCAGCAGCUAAAGAAGCUAUUGAGAAACAACUGAAGAGACGGGAAGGUGCGCCGUUUCUAUGGUCUCUCCUGGUACGUGUCCAAUUAAACGUUUUUUAGCUAGAGCUUUGUGUUCAAGUUUUGCUUUUAUUCAUGCAAGUUAUUGCAAUAUAGGAGAAAGCAUGUUUGAUAUUAGGAAUGGAGGAAGCAGCUAGUUAUGGUCAGAAAGCCAAAGAAUUAGAAGCUGCAUACUUCACUUAGCUAAACUUGCACGCAGCAUGACCUGUGUAGUGAUGGGUUUGGAUUAUGAAUGUUUUGGAUGUCCAGAUUAGAUGGAUUCUUAACAAGCCAUGUGAGUUUGUCUAAUCAUUAAUAGUAGUACUAUAUGAUUAAUUAACUUGAUAA